rnacentral:rRNA from 1 species
AUACGUUUUCAUUCUUUGAAUGAAAAUUAACUAGCUAUCAUACUCCCAAGAAAAGCUCGUACUACCGUUAAACAUCACAGUACCUGUACCGUAAACCGACACAGGUAGGUUGGUAGAGUAUACCAAGGGGCGCGAGAUAACUCUCUCUAAGGAACUCGGCAAAAUGACCCCGUAACUUCGGGAGAAGGGGUGCCAAGUAUUCAACUUGGUCGCAGUGACCAGGCCCAGGCGACUGUUUAUCAAAAACACAGGUCUCCGCAAAGUCGUAAGACAACAUAUGGGGGCUGACGCCUGCCCAGUGCCGGAAGGUUAAGGAAGUUGGUUAUUCUUCGGAAGAAGCUGACGACCGAAGCCCCGGUGAACGGCGGCCGUAACGAUAACGGUCCUAAGGUAGCGAAAUUCCUUGUCGGGUAAGUUCCGACCCGCACGAAAGGCGUAACGAUCUGGGCGCUGUCUCGGAGAGAGACUCGGUGAAAUAGACAUGUCUGUGAAGAUGCGGACUACCUGCACUUGGACAGAAAGACCCUAUGAAGCUUGACUGUAGCUUGGAAUUGGGUUCGGGCUCUUCUUGCGCAGUCUAGGUGGGAGGCGUUGAAAGUUUUCUUUCGGGAAAACUGGAGCCAUCAGUGAGAGACCACUCUGGAGGAGCUAGAAUUCUAAUGGCGUUCCUUGAAGCAGGACGCUUGACAGUUUCAGGUGGGCAGUUUGACUGGGGCGGUCACCUCCUACAAGGUAACGGAGGUGUGCAAAGGUUCCCUCAGGCUGGACGGAAAUCAGCCGUAGAGUGUAAAGGCAGAAGGGAGCUUGACUGCAAGACCUACAAGUCGAGCAGGGGCGAAAGCCGGCCUUAGUGAUCCGACGGUUCCGUGUGGAAGGGCCGUCGCUCAACGGAUAAAAGUUACUCUAGGAUAACAGGCUGAUCUUCCCCAAGAGUUCACAUCGACGGGAAGGUUUGGCACCUCGAUGUCGGCUCAUCGCAACCUGGGGCGGUAGUACGUCCCAAGGGUUGGGCUGUUCGCCCAUGAAAGCGGUACGUGAGCUGGGUUCAGAACGUCGUGAGACAGUUCGGUCCAUAUCCGGUGUAGGCGUUAGAGUAUUGAGGAGAGUCACCCAUAGUACGAGAGGACCUGGGUGAAUGCACCUCUAGUAUAUGAGUUAUCACGCCAGUGGUAAACGCUCAGUAGCUAUGUGCAGAGAAGAUAACCGCUGAAAGCAUCUAAGUGGGAAGCUCACUCCAAGAUGAGUACUCUCUAUUCAGGCUACUCGAAGACCACGAGUUCGAUAGGCAGAAAGUGGAAGACUAGUAAUAGUUGCAGCUGAUCUGUACUAACAAGCCGAUCGA